rnacentral:snRNA from 7 species
AUACUUAUCUGGACGGGGUCUAUGGUCGAUCAAGAAGAGGCUUAGCCUAGGCUGGCUUCCAUUGCACGUAGGAGGAGUGCUCGCUUACAAUCUCCCUAAGCGGGAGAGUGGCCGUCAAAAUUUAUGGUUGAAGAGGUACGCAUUCUCGCGGCCCCUAC